rnacentral:tRNA from 1 species
GGUCGGAUGGCCGAGCGGUCCAAGGCGCUGCGUUCAGGUUGCAGUCUGGUCUUCAGGGCGUGGGUUCGAAUCCCACUUCUGACAA